AGUGAACGCUGGCGGUAGGCCUAACACAUGCAAGUCGAACGGCAGCACAGUAAGAGCUUGCUCUUACGGGUGGCGAGUGGCGGACGGGUGAGGAAUACAUCGGAAUCUACUUUUUUGUGGGGGAUAACGUAGGGAAACUUACGCUAAUACCGCAUACGACCUACGGGUGAAAGCAGGGGAUCUUCGGACCUUGCGCGAUUGAAUGAGCCGAUGUCGGAUUAGCUAGUUGGCGGGGUAAAGGCCCACCAAGGCGACGAUCCGUAGCUGGUCUGAGAGGAUGAUCAGCCACACUGGAACUGAGACACGGUCCAGACUCCUACGGGAGGCAGCAGUGGGGAAUAUUGGACAAUGGGCGCAAGCCUGAUCCAGCCAUACCGCGUGGGUGAAGAAGGCCUUCGGGUUGUAAAGCCCUUUUGUUGGGAAAGAAAAGCAGCAGGUUAAUACCCCGCUGUUCCGACGGUACCCAAAGAAUAAGCACCGGCUAACUUCGUG
rnacentral:rRNA from 1 species